rnacentral:rRNA from 1 species
UACGGAGGUGGCGAGCGUUACUCGGAAUUAUUGGGUGUAAAGGGUAGGUAGGCGGUCUAUUAAGUGAGGGGUGAAAUCCUGCGGUUCAAUCGCAGAACUGCCUUUCAAACUGAUAGACUUGAGACAGGAAUAGGAAAACGGAAUUAGCAGUGUAAGGGUGAAAUCUGUAGAUAUUGCUAAGAACUCCAACGGCGUAGGCAGUUUUCUGGUCCUGUUCUGACGCUGAUCUACGAAAGCUAGGGGAGCAAACAGAAUUAGAUACUCUGGUAGUCCUAGCUGUAAACGAUGAGUACUAGGUGUCGGCCCUUCGGGGUCGGUGCCGAAGCUAACGCGUUAAGUACUCCACCUGGGGACUACGGUCGCAAGGCUAAA